AACGAACGCUGGCGGCAGGCCUAACACAUGCAAGUCGAGCGAUCCUUCGGGAUAGCGGCGGACGGGUGAGUAACGCGUGGGAAUAUGCCCUUCACUACGGAAUAGCCCAGGGAAACUUGGAUUAAUACCGUAUACGCCCUUUGGGGAAAGAUUUAUCGGUGAAGGAUUAGCCCGCGUUGGAUUAGGUAGUUGGUGGGGUAAUGGCCUACCAAGCCUACGAUCCAUAGCUGGUUUGAGAGGAUGAUCAGCCACACUGGGACUGAGACACGGCCCAGACUCCUACGGGAGGCAGCAGUGGGGAAUCUUAGACAAUGGGCGCAAGCCUGAUCCAGCCAUGCCGCGUGAGUGAUGAAGGCCCUAGGGUUGUAAAGCUCUUUCACCGGAGAAGAUAAUGACGGUAUCCGGAGAAGAAGCCCCGGCUAACUUCGUGCCAGCCGCCGCCGCAAUAACAC
rnacentral:rRNA from 1 species